rnacentral:rRNA from 1 species
UGCCAGCAGCCGCGGUAAUACGGAGGGUCCAAGCGUUGUCCGGAAUCAUUGGGCGUAAAGGGCGAGUAGGCUGGCUUGUAAGUCUGAGGUGAAAGUUCGCGGCUUAACUGCGGAAUUGCCUUUGAAACUGCGAGUCUUGAGUGUGAGAUGGGAAAGCGGAAUUCCCGGUGUAGCGGUGAAAUGCGUAGAUAUCGGGAAGAACACCGGUGGCGAAGGCGGCUUUCUGGCUCAUAACUGACGCUGAAUCGCGAAAGCGUGGGUAGCGAACAGGAUUAGAUA